rnacentral:rRNA from 1 species
UACGUAGGGGCUAGCGUUAUCCGGAAUUACUGGGCGUAAAGGGUGCGUAGGUGGUUUCUUAAGUCAGAGGUUAAAGGCUACGGCUCGACCGUAGUAAGCCUUUGAAACUGGGAAACUUGAGUGCAGGAGAGGAGAGUGGAAUUCCUAGUGUAGCGGUGAAAUGCGUAGAUAUUAGGAGGAACACCAGUUGCGAAGGCGGCUCUCUGGACUGUAACUGACACUGAGGCACGAAAGCGUGGGGAGCAAACAGGAUUAGAUACCCUGGUAGUCCCUGAGCGGG